UCGUAGUCCAGUGGAUAGGACGCCGGCCUCCGGAGCCAGAAGCGAGGGUUCGAUUCCCUCCGAG
rnacentral:tRNA from 1 species